AUCAUGGAGAGUUUGAUCCUGGCUCAGAACGAACGCUGGCGGCGCGUCUUAAGCAUGCAAGUCGAGCGGCAAGCACCCGCAAGGGUGCCUAGAGCGGCGGACUGGUGAG
rnacentral:rRNA from 1 species